UUCCGGGGCUGCGUCGGCACGUGCGGGUGGGCGGUGGAGCGCGGCGGAAGGCCAAGUCGCCUGUCGCGGUCCCAGGUUUUACCAGCGCCCUGGAUUGGAAGCGUGUCCUCUUCUGGGCCACGGCUCCAACGCGGGGCCCGCGGGCGGUUGGCUGUCUCCUGCUGCUGUGAGUUUGCAGCCGUUAAGAGCUGAGCCCGUGGCCCACCUGGAGCCAAGGGAUGUGGCCAGAGCUCCAUGUGGCUCUUACCGGCCUCUAUUGCGUGAGCCCUAGGGGGCCGCGCUCCCAGCUGUGUCAGGCUCCCCAGCCAUGCUCUGAGGACUAGGGACGCGUGGGAAUUGAAGACAGAAAAACGCAGAUAGAGAUACUAUUGUAGAAUCGGGCUCUUAGGAACAAUGAGGCCUCCUGUGAUUCCCAGGCCGCAGGGCGGAGACACACAAAACCUAAGACUAUACAGCAAGCCCAAGACAGCUGACUAUGAAGCGGGAAGCUCUCACCAAACACCAAAUCUGCCAGCUCAGUGAUUCUGAACUUCUCAUUCUCCAGAACUGUGAAAAAACUUCUGUUUAUAAGUGAGCCGGUAUUUUGGUAUUUUGUUAUCACAGCCUGAAAAGACUAAAACAAGUGCCUUCUAUGUCUAGGUUGACUUAUAAUAGCAAUCCAGAUAGACUCAGUGCCUGCCUCCAUUGUAGUGGCAGCCUGGGGACAGGAGAGUUCUUGCUAGCUUUUUCAAGGCAAGACCUGCUUAUGACGCAUCCUUGUGUCUCUGUCAGCAGUGAUCACAGCCCCUUCCCUUUACCAUCUGCUCAACAAAAACAGUUGUUGAAUUAAAUGUCACUUUGUGACUAGUGAAAUAAGUCUGUCAGAACCCCACACAAAUAUUUUGCUUGUUGUGGGAUUAGUUAUAAUAUGAAUGCCUUAACCAUAGAAGUCAAUCCCAUGUGUUUACAUGGUAGUUUUGUUAGUAUUACAACAGAGAAAUUUAUCAGGCAUAGGUUAUUCCCAGUCAUGUUUUCUAUUUUUGUUAGCCUUUUUACAAUUGCUUUUAUUAGCUAUUCCUUCAUGAUGUCUUGGAGAACUACCCUAUAAAAUUAUUAAUGCUGGUUAUUUAGGAGUUCUUUCAGGGCAUUGCAAGAUUUAUGGGCUAUGUAGGUGGCAAUGAAAACUUCACAGCAUUUUUUGGUUGCAUAUUUUACGUGUGCCACAUAGUUUAGAAAAACAAAACAAAACAAAACAAACUUUAAGAACAUUAUAUGUUCCUAGCCAGCACAGCUUUAGGGGUGU